rnacentral:miRNA from 1 species
GGAUUGAUGUUAUUCGGUAUGAUC